rnacentral:rRNA from 1 species
UUGCAUUAUUCAAAAAGCGGAGGAAAAGAAAAUAACAAUGAUUCCCUCAGUAACGGCGAGUGAACAGGGAAAAGCUCACAGUUGGAACCUAGCUGCCUUAGGUAGUUCGGAUUGUAAACUGAAAAAGUGUUAUCCAGGCUAGCCGAGUAAAUAAGUUUCUUGGAAUAGAACAUCAUGGAGGGUGAGAAUCCCGUCUUUGGCUUGAGCAUAGUCUUUUGUGUUGCACUUUAACGAGUCAGGUUGUUUGGGAAUGCAGCCUAAAGUGGGAGGUAAAUCCCUCCUAAAGCUAAAUAUUGGCGAGAGACCGAUAGCAAACAAGUACCGUGAGGGAAAGAUGAAAAGAACUUUGAAAAGAGAGUUAAACAGUAUGUGAAAUUGCUAAAAGGGAAGCGUUUGAAGACAGACUAGCUUGGUUAUAAUCAGCCUGGAUUUUUCUUGGUGUACUUGUAGCCUAUGCUUGCCAACAGCAGUUUGGUCUGGCUGAAAAAACUAGUAGUAAGGUGGCUCUCUUCGGGGAGUGUUAUAGACUAUUAGAAAAUCAGUUGGACUGGACUGAGGAAUGCAAUGCAGCUUGCCUUGGGGUGAACCAGAUUGGAUAGGAACCAUUGUUCCUUGAAGGUUUGGGUAGCUCUUCGAACUGUAUUUAGGUUGUUGGCUUAAUGUCUUUAAACGGCCCGUCUUGACACCCCGCAAAACA